UGUGAUUUCUUCUUUGGUCCUUCCCUCUUUUCUUCCCUCUCGUCUCUCUACUCCGCCUCUCCUCUCACCACCGUCCGCCACUCCGCCGCUCCCCAAACCCUACUCAUCGCUUCCUCGUCUCACUCUCAAGGUCGCUGCAGCACUCGCUGGCUUGUCACGCGCCUGAGAUUACCUGCUCGAGAAGAACCUCGUCGCUGCCUUCACGAGAGCGUCGCGUCUUUGUCUGAAAAAUGAGCGUCACCGUCGCCGUCGCCGUGUUCCCUAUAAUAGUGAGCUGUGUGCAUCGUCAUUGCGGUUUUCGUCGCAGUAGUGAGUGUCGCCAUCAUCCUCGCAACAACCUUCGCAGUCACUGCAGCAAUCGUUGGUUCAUCGCGCGCCUAAGACGCCACGGCCGAGGAGAACAUUGUCGCCAUCUUCACGGGAGUGUCGCCGUCUUCACGAGAGCGUCCCCUUCUCCGUCGCAGCAGUGAGCGUCGCCAUCGCAGCAGUGAGCAUCAAGGUUCACCUUCUUCCGAUUUGAUUCUUCUAUUCUAUUUCUCUGUGUCAAUGAUCUUCUUCCUUAAAAAAAUUUUCAUUAGUUUCUAGGUCAUUGUAAAAUUCAUAGACUCUGUUCUAGCUAAUAGGUUCAAGUUUACACCCCCUUUUGGAAAAAAUGGCAGUGAUUGAUGAAAUAGAUAAUUAAUUUCUAAAGGAAUGCAGGUUUUUGCUGUUGAUGAUGAUUGAACAUGUCUUAUGGUUUUGAAGAUUUUAUUUAAAAGUGACAUUUUUUUCUUCAGUGUAAGUUAAUUUAAUUUGAAUCUAUAUGUUAUUUUGUUGUUUGGUUUUUCAUGUAACAAAUUUUAUCAUAAGUUUUAUUUGAUAUGCAUACUCUUUCAAUUUUAA